rnacentral:misc_RNA from 1 species
CAACACUCAAGCUCAGCUUGGUCUUGAGCCUAGCCGGUAAAAUGGCAGGCUUUAAAAUUAGUGGCGGCGCCAUUAGGCUCUAAGCGUAGUAAUUAUCCUCGCUAUUGAGUUCUGGUGGUAGCUUGCCAGCAACCCCAACUUUCUAA